UCUGUGUUGCCACUUGUGGUGUGUGU
rnacentral:sRNA from 1 species